AGUGAACGCUGGCGGUAGGCCUAACACAUGCAAGUCGAACGGCAGCACAGUAAGAGCUUGCUCUUACGGGUGGCGAGUGGCGGACGGGUGAGGAAUACAUCGGAAUCUACUUUUUCGUGGGGGUUAACGUAGGGAAACUUACGCUAAUACCGCAUACGACCUACGGGUGAAAGCAGGGGAUCUUCGGACCUUGCGCGAUUGAAUGAGCCGAUGUCGGAUUAGCUAGUUGGCGGGGUAAAGGCCCACCAAGGCGACGAUCCGUAGCUGGUCUGAGAGGAUGGUCAGCCACACUGGAACUGAGACACGGUCCAGACUCCUACGGGAGGCAGCAGUGGGGAAUAUUGGACAGUGGGCGCAAGCCUGGUCCAGCCAUACCGCGUGGGUGAAGAAGGCCUUCGGGUUGUAAAGCCCUUUUGUUGGGAAAGAACAGCAGCAGGUUAAUACCCCGCUGUUCUGACGGUACCCAAAGAAUAAGCACCGGCUAACUUCGUG
rnacentral:rRNA from 1 species